rnacentral:rRNA from 2 species
GAUGAACGCUGGCGGCGUGCCUAACACAUGCAAGUCGAGCGGGGCAUGGGCUUCGGCCCAUACUUAGCGGCGGACGGGUGAGUAACGCGUGGGUAAUCUGCCUAUCACUGGGGAAUAACAAUGAGAAAUCAUUGCUAAUACCGCAUACGGUCGUGAAAUCGCAUGGUUUUACGAGGAAAGAUUUAUCGGUGAAAGAGGAGUCCGCGUCUGAUUAGCUAGUUGGUGAGGUAAAGGCCCACCAAGGCAACGAUCAGUAGCCGACCUGAGAGGGUGAUCGGCCACAUUGGAACUGAGAGACGGUCCAAACUCCUACGGGAGGCAGCAGUGGGGAAUAUUGCACAAUGGGCGGAAGCCUGAUGCAGCAACGCCGCGUGAAGGAAGAAGGUUUUCGGAUCGUAAACUUCUAUCGACAGGGACGA